GGAACAGGGCGCCCAGGAGGGUGAGAGCCCCGUGGGAUGCCGGCGGAAGCAGUGAGGCCCUUCUGACGAGUCGAGUUGUUUGGGAAUGCAGCUCCAAGCGGGUGGUAAAUUCCAUCUAAGGCUAAAUACUGGCGAGAGACCGAUAGCGAACAAGUACUGUGAAGGAAAGAUGAAAAGCACUUUGAAAAGAGAGUGAAACAGCACGUGAAAUUGUUGAAAGGGAAGGGUAUUGCGCCCGACAUGGGGAUUGCGCACCGCUGCCUCUCGUGGGCGGCGCUCUGGGCUUUCCCUGGGCCAGCAUCGGUUCUUGCUGCAGGAGAAGGGGUUCUGGAACGUGGCUCUUCGGAGUGUUAUAGCCAGGGCCAGAUGCUGCGUGCGGGGACCGAGGACUGCGGCCGUGUAGGUCACGGAUGCUGGCAGAACGGCGCAACACCGCCCGUCUUGAAACACGGACC
rnacentral:rRNA from 1 species